ensembl:lncRNA
UGAGAAGGAAGCAAAGUGGACGUGUGCAAAUAUGUACACACACACACACACACAGAGAGAGACAGUACCAGAUAUCCCCUGGUGUGAUAAUAACCUAAUGAGGACAGAGAUGAUGUCUUAAAAUGGAGAGUCACCCAGUGGCCCCAAAGUAUUCUAGCUGUGUGUGUGUAUGUUUAAGAAGCUGGUAUGUGUUUUCUAUAUGGUCUCUGAUGUCUAAACCCACCAAAUCAUGCAUCAAAGAUUUGGUUUUCAUGUACCUAAUACACACCUUUCUCUGUUUGUCUUUUUUCCAGGUCUCUGUCCCCAGUGAAGUUAUCUCAGAUCCAUUUUCAAUACAAGUUUGUAUGACAAAAUGGAAGUUGGAUUAUUUUCCAGUGUAUCCUUCAUGAGAAAUGUAACAUUACUGAUGUUUGUGGUCUCAGAGACCCCUAUUAAACAUAAUGCAAUGCAUUUUCACAUGAUUUUAUGAUUGAUAUAUACAGUGUAGAUGUCCACUCCUGUCUUUCUUUUUAUGUAUUUUUGCUGGAGUCAAAUAGACUUUUGUAAUUACAAAAUUAUUUGUAAUUUUGUAAAAACAAUGUAAUUAUAUUAAAUAAUAGUGAUAUUUUUGAAAAGUGCAUGCCUGCUUCAGUAAGCUUUAGUCAUUUCUUUCUGCUGGGAUAUCAGAGGAACAUAUUAAAACAAUUUGAAGGGAAAUGCAUGGAUAAUUUUUAAAUGACCAUUAUUUUUUACAAAGGCAUAAUUGGAUUCAAACAUAAAAAAAGCCACUAUUAUCAGAAAAGGAAGGCUAAAGGACUUACUAAAUAUGUUUGAUGUAUUGCAGUUUAAAAGCAGUCUAUACCAUGUCUGCCUGCUUUUUAUUCACGUAUUUUAAUAAUGAUCUUUCCAGCCUCCAUUUCAAAACCAGAUAAACAUUCCUCUCAGUAGAGACAAAAUGGAGUUUUAUGGAGAAGUUGAUGGGCAGUCAUUAUGACUUUGACCUGACAUACAUAACUGAGCGUAUCAUCUCUGUCUGACCUGGAAGACCAGCGUUACAGUGCUAACCUCAAAGAUGUGGCAGCCAUGUUGAAAUCUAAACAUCAAGACAAGUUCUUGGUCAGUUGAACUUCUGUUUAAAAUCACUGCUGAGAUCUAAAGCCAUGUGAAUUAUGGCAUUACGUUGUGACAUCAAACCAAAGGUAUCUUCUUGCUGUUUGAUUAAAAACAGCAUUAUAUGUAUUAUUUCAUUAGUUAGAUUUGCAAGCAAAUUAAUUUAAAAGUAACUGUAUGGCUUGCUUGUUUUGAUGUAUGCCUCUGUUUCUGUAUUUCUGGGAUGACCCAUUCCCUUGCCUCAGGUUGAGAAGUUUGGGUGGCCUGAUCUACAUGCCCCAUCCCUCGAUAAAAUAUGUGCUGUGUGCAAAACCAUGGAGAACUGGCUUAACUCUGACCCCCAGAAUGUGGUUGUACUGUACUGCAAGGUUGAGAUCAGAAGUUAUUUGAUAUUUAAUAUAUAAUAGCUUAAAGUGUCUAAAUGUCAUCAGUCUUAUUAAAGGAAUGGAUCAUCCAAAAAUGAGAUUUUGUCACCAUUUACUUACUCCAAAGUCAUUUCAAACUCAUAUGACUGCCUUUCUAAUGGAAAAGUUUAAACUAAUGUACUGUCUUUUCCAUGCAGUUACAAUCAAUUGGUACUAAAGCUUCAGAAAGCACUAUAAAAGUGUCAUAAAAGUAGUCAAUGCAACUCUCAAUCCUUCCCUCUAGAUGGCUGUUAAACUUUGUGACCAGAUAAGAGUCAGCGAGUUGAACUUAACCAAAUCAGUCUGAUCCAACAUAUAGACUUGAAAAUCAUGACAGAAGUUAAAUUUGAUUAAAUUUUUGUGUCAUAGAAAGCAUAACCCAAAAUUAGUAUUAGAUGUUGUAUAUAUUUUUCUUCUCAUCAUUAAAUUAAUCAAAAAUGACAGUAAAGACAUUUAUAAUGUUACAAAAUAUUUUUGUUCCAAAUAAGUGCCGUUCUUUUGAGCUUUUCCAUCACUGAAAUAAAUUAUAUUUAAAAAUAUAUUAAACAGAAAACCGCUCUUUACUGUAUUUUUGAUCAAAUAAAUGCAGCCUUGGUGAACAUUAAGAUAUUUUUUCCACUUUUUAAGCAGUGCCUUUUUGCCGGAAACAAUUUUUAUUUAAAUUACACUUGAUUCUUUCUGUGUGUAUGUCUGCAGGGCAGAUCUUGCUCUCUUGACAAUUGCUAUGAGGAAAUUUUGUGAGGAUAAAAUCUCUUCCUCUCUCCAACCAUUUCAGAACAGGUAUGACCAAACUUUAUUUCUGUUUGUUCCAGAAUAACUUGUUCUAGUUUGGUCAUGAUAUUCUCUCUGUAAUUGCAAGUAUAUAUAUAUUAUUUUUCUGGUCUUCUCUCAGGUUCAAAAAAGAUGAACAGCUCUCCUCUUUUCCUGCAUAAAAUUCAUAUUCCAGCUUUGCUCAACUACCAGGCAGGAGGUACACAACAUGUUCAAUCAUGACCAGGCCUUAUUUUGUAUUUUCUGAACUGAUUUUAGGUUAAAGACAACAGAGAUCUGUAUGUUUUAAAAUGUGUUGAAGUGAUAGUUGAAGCAAAAAUGAAAUCAUAAUUUACUCACCCUCAUGACGUUCCAAACCUGUAUGACUUGUUUCAUUCAUACAGGUUUGGAGCGACAUGGGAGUGAGAAAAGGAUGACAGAUUUUUUUAGGGUGACGGACAUUUUUGGGUGAACUUUCCCUUUCACUGUGUUUCCUCAUAUGAUCCAUUGCAUUUUGCAGGUUACUCUCCCUUUUUGAAGCUCUAUCAGUCGUUGCAGCUGGUCUAUUCUUCAGGCAAAUAGUAGUGAUAUUCAGGGUCCUAACAGUAAGAUGCUGUGUGUGAAUAUUAAACCAGCUCUACUGCUGAAGGGAGACAUCUUGAUGACCGAUUCCUUGCAGACGCCACAGUGGAGUUGCUGUUUUCUUCUGGUCUGCAAAGGAGAGGUGGAGAGGUGCAGGGAAAUGAGCCAGGAGUAUCUGUGGAUUAUGGCAGCGCAGAUCCUAUUGUGCGCUGGGACUCGUAUGAGAACUUUAACAUUCACCAAGAGGAUAGUGUUGAGGAUAUCUGUCACAAACAUGGGUCUUUGAACGGUAGUCUGUAUGCUCAAGUGAAGAAGCGUCGAGCACCAGGCUCCAGUCCCAGUGGAUGUCCGACUUCCGUCAAAACCCCCACACAUUCACCCUGUCAUUCCUCCUCUACCCCCAUUCAUCUUUCCAUCCAGCCUCUUUCGCUCAGCAAAGAUGCAAGUCGCUCCUCAGCACCACCCGAAUCCCCCUCUCCACUUCUAAGAGAAAAAAGAGAGAAGGACGAAGACAGGGAAAGACACAGAGAAAAUUCUUGACGAUGGCAACUGCUCUCCCAUGAGACUGGAAUGGCCAGUUCAGUCUUAUGGUCACCUGUAUUCCCACAUUUAUUAAUUCUGUGACCCAGAGCUUGCACAAAUGCUCCAUCCCAAACACCACACACUUCCCUGCAGCCGCACUGCCCCGCUGCCAGUCUGAGACUCGUGUGCAUCCCAGCCGGAUCUUUUAUGGGAGAGAGGGCAAUGUCUGCACCAUCCCUGCCCAGAAACCAUCAGGCACAUGUACUCAUAUCCCACUCACGUAACCCACCUUCAUUCGCCACUUUCCCACUCACAGUCCUCCCAUUCCCACACACUUCCCACACAGACACAUGUGUUCUACUCUGGGGAGGCAUGUCCUGUGUUCUAUUGCUCUGCCCUCCCCUAGGGCCACACCCACAUCCCUUCUUCUCUGUCUCCUACUCAGUCACUGCUCUCCAGUCCAUACCGAGAAUUACAUUACAGCACGACUCCCCCAACAUCGUGCUCCUGUUCUCGCUUACGAGAGGAUGUUGCCCUCCAUUCCUUACACGGCAGAGAAAUAGAAGCUCUCCCUUGGUCUAGAGAGACAGAGUUUGGGAUUAGGAGGGAGGGGCCUGUGCACUGGAGGGAUGAAAGGGCGGAGUCUCAUUGGGAAGGAGCUCAAGAGGCCGAAUACUUGCGGCGCAAAAUAGCAAUGUCACCAGUAAUGUUAUCAUACAGACAUUGCCACACUGUACCAAAACAAGACCAAGCUAUAUAUGUUACAGACACCCAACCCAAACAUAUGACCCCAAUCAGUCCAUAUCCCAGCCCCCAAAGCAGUGGCUAUCACAGCCCUCGUCCACCCUGUCCUUGCACUCCACAACCAUUCAGAGACAGUCCUGGAUACGUCUCCAUCAGUCAUUCGUUAUCCCCCAUUGCUCUCACUCCAUCUCCAAAACAAGCCAGUCACAACAAUGCUUCAGCUGAAGAGAGUCAGCAUAGCAUGAAUAGUAAUCACAUUGACUCAGUUUGGUCAAUAAAUUACAGCUAACAAAUAAUGCAUUCCUUAAACAACUUUUGAUAACACUUCACAAUAAAGUUCAUUAGUUACAGUAUUUAUUCAUCUUAAUGUUAACAUUAAUUAAUAAAAGUAUUGGUAUUGUUCAUGUUAGCUUAGGUCCAUUAAUAUUAACAGAUAAAACUUUGGAUUUUAAUAAUGUAUUAGUAAAUGUUGAAAUUAUUAUGAACUUCAUGUUAACUAAUUUUCAUGUUAACUAAUGUAGUUAACGUUAACAAAUGGAACCUUAUUGUAAAAUGUUAUCAAACAUUUGUGUUUCAAGUAAAUGCUGUUCUUCUGAACUUGAUAUACAUCAAAAUAUCAUGAAACAAAAUAUAUCACAGUUUCCACAAAAAUAUUAAGCAGCACAAAUGUUUUCAUCAUUAAUAAUAAUAAAAAAUGUUUUUAAACAAUAUAAAAUAUAUAAAAAUAGAGAAGAGUUUCAAUUAUACAAUAUAAUAAUAAUUAAUAUAUUUAAUAAUUAAUAAUAUAAUAAUUAAAUUGAAUUAAUAUUUCACAAUAUUACAGUGUUUUUUAUCAAAUUAGUGCAGCCUUGGUGAGCAUAAGCAUUUAAUAAUCGUACUGACCCCAAACUUUUGAAAAGUAAUGUACAUUUAAAGAGAUAGUUCUCCAAAAAAAAAAAAAAAUGAAACCUCUGUUCAUCACUCUGAAGUUGUCCAAGCCAGAUUUUUAUUUUAUUUAUUUAUUUAUUUUUUUUUUUUGUGGAACACAAAAGGAGAUAUUUUGUAGAAUGUAAACACUGUUCUUUCCUAUACACAAAAUUUGUUGGUGAUUGAUAAUGUCAAGCUUUAAAAGAGACACAAAAAUACCAUAAAUGUAACAUUUAUUUUAAUUUAUUUAUUUUUCCCCAGCUUUUUUCUCUUUCCUAAUCUAUUGUUGUGUAUUUUGUAGAUGGGCGUAUAGAGGUUUUAGAUGCUGAUAAAAGUCACAUUGAGGCCUUUUCACCUCCUGUUAAUCUCUCAGCAACAGUUAAUUUUGAUAGUUGAACGUUGAUUUUAAUGUGAUAUCAAGUAAAUUCUUCUGCGUAUUCUAACAGCAGACCAAUGGAGGUGGGAGAACCAAUGAAAAGCAAAGUUCUAGAAAGUAGAACAUUCCCUGGGUCUCUGAUCAAUGUUGUCUCGGCUAUCAGUGGCACAGAGGAAAAUACAAAGAAAACAACCAUCACAGAUUGUAAAUCUAACACCCCUCUCAUUAGUAACCCACCAUCAUCCAAGGUUGUGGAGUCAGUGCAGGUACAAACACACAACCCCAAACCUCUCAGUACCAGCAUCCUGGAAUCAGAGCAGGAUAAAGAGGAGUGCCCCGGCUCAUGCUACACCUCAACUUCAACCUCAACAAGUCCUCAACCUCCACUUUGCUCUUCAGAAAGAAGCUCUGCUUCUAAAUUCCCUUCAUUUAACAUAAAUUCUGAAAUGCAAAGCAUGACAACAGUGACUUGACUGCAACGUCCUCUGACCCUGAUGGCUACGUCACACCCUUAUUCCCUAGAGCAGUGGUUCCCAGCCCUGGUCCUGGAGAACCCCCAACACUGCACAUUUAAGAUGUCUCCCUAUUCAAACACACCAGAUUCAACUCAUCAGCUCAUUAGUGAAGACUCCAAGACCUCAAAUGUGUGUGUCAGAUAAGAGCCACCAAAAGCAUGCAGUGUUGGGGGUUCUCCAGGACCAGGAUUGGAAACCACUGCCCUAGAGCAUACAGCUACCCUCUUCUGAUGGAGCCUCAUGUACCCUAUACAGGCUAUACUGAGAUUACCUUCAGAACGUGUCUGAAUGCACUAGCUCUUCAUCAGCAAAGUCAGCUGAAAAACCUGUGACUUCCUUUGCCCAGUUCCAUGUGUCCUUCUCCACUACUAACAAUGAAUUGCUCCCACAUCUAAAUGCAAAGUAACCCCCUCUAGUGGCAUUGAGGAGCCAGAGAACCGCCUCAGCCCCAAGUUUGUUCAAAACAGCUCCAAGUAUUGGAACAAACCUGGCAUCUCCAGAGACCAGGCCAUCGCAGUAUUAAAAGAUAAGGAGCCUGGCUGCUUCCUCAUUAGGGAUAGUAAUUCAUUCCAAGGCGCAUAUGGAUUGGCUCUGAAAGUCAGCACACCUCCAGUCCACGCUAGUAACCACGGAGAGACAGGCAACCCACAGGAGCAGCUAGUUAGGCACUUUCUGAUUGAGAGUGGUCCUCAAGGAGUGAAGAUCAAAGGCUGUCAAAAUGAAACAUAUUUCAGCUGUGGUGUAUCAGCACUCCAUUACUCCUGUGUCUCUUCCUUGUGUUUUACGAAUCCCAGAUAGAGAUCUUGAAAGGGAAUUGCAAGAGUUGCAAAGUGGAACUAAUACCAGCACAGCUGCAGAUCUAUUAAAACAGGGGGCAGCUUGUAAUGUUCUCUACCUAAACACUGGCCCACAAGACGCCUCCAAGGCAACCGAGUGCACUUUGCCCCAGGACCCUCGUCCUUCACCAACAGUCAUACACUUCAAAGUGUGCACACAAGGCAUCACCCUCACUGAUAACCAGCGCAGACUGUUUUUCACAAUGUGACUUCCAGCAGUGUGGCUCCACUGGAUCAAAGGUGGAUUGAUGCUGAUAACACUUCCAGCAAGAUGUUUGGAUUUGUUGCACGGCGCAGCAGUGAAUUGGGAAAUGUGUGUCACCUGUUUGCAGAGCUGGACUCAGAGCAGCCAGCCACGGCCAUUGUGAACUUCAUCAAUAAAGUCAUGCUGGGACCUCAACAGCUGCGAAAAUGAACACAGUAUAGGAGAGAUGGAGAAAAACAAAACAGAGAGAGCAAAGGACAAGAUGGUAUCGCUGUGGAUAUUGUCACGUUUAUAUACAGAAUGAGAGAAGUGUUUCUCAUUAGGAUACACAAAACUGAUUCAGUAUGCAAACUUUGUCUUUUUCUGUCAUGUUCACAUAUAGUGUAAAUCAGUGAGAUUAGGUCAUGUUGAAAUUGAGUGCAUUAUGAAGUGAUUUCAAAUUAAACUUCUUUUAUUAAAUAAAAAUGAAAUGUACAAGAAAUACAACAAAUGGAUAUUCCUGGUAAAGUAUAUCUAAUGGAUAAAUAAACGAGAGAGAAAGUUUUUAACACUCAAACCUAUCUUUGCUUUUAUACUACCACUCAGGAUGCCAAAGCUCAAUGACUGUUAUUGUGUUGUGUUUUUAUUUUCAUUGAUUUUGUGUGUGCUUGUUUUCAGUUAAAUGGUCAGAUCUUUUGGUUGUUCGUUUUCUGUUCAAAAUGCCCUUUAUAAGACACAAAGUCAUAUUUUUAGCAACUGUUGCAUUUUUAAAUUCAUACUUUUUAGUAUUUAAAUAAAAUAUUACAAAAAU